rnacentral:rRNA from 1 species
UACGGGGGGAGCAAGCGUUGUUCGGAUUUACUGGGCGUAAAGGGCGCGUAGGCGGUCAGCACAAGUCAGUUGUGAAAUCUCCGGGCUUAACUCGGAAAGGUCAACUGAUACUGUGCGACUAGAGUGCAGAAGGGGCAACUGGAAUUCUCGGUGUAGCGGUGAAAUGCGUAGAUAUCUGGAGGAACACCGGUGGCGAAGGCGGCAUCCUGGACCAACACUGACACUGAGGAGCGAAAGCCAGGGGAGCAAACGGG